rnacentral:rRNA from 1 species
AGAGUUUGAUCCUGGCUCAGAACGAACGCUGGCGGCAGGCCUAACACAUGCAAGUCGAGCGCCCGCAAGGGAGCGGCAGACGGGUGAGUAACGCGUGGGAACGUGCCCUUUGGUUCGGAAUAUUCCCGGGAAACUGGGAGCAAAACCGGAUAAGCCCUUCGGGGGAAAGUUUACGCCAAAGGAUCGGCCCGCGUUAGAUUAGGUAGUUGGUGGGGUAACGGCCUACCAAGCCUACGAUCUAUAGCUGAUCUGAGAGGAUGAUCAGCCACACUGGGACUGAGACACGGCCCAGACUCCUACGGGAGGCAGCAGUGGGGAAUCUUGGACAAUGGGCGCAAGCCUGAUCCAGCCAUGCCGCGUGGAUGACUGAAGGCCCUAGGGUUGUAAAGUCCUUUCGACGGGGACGAUAAUGACGGUACCCGUAGAAGAAGCCCCGGCUAACUUCGUGCCAGCAGCCGCGGUAAUACGAAGGGGGCUAGCGUUGUUCGGAUUUACUGGGCGUAAAGGGCGCGUAGGCGGAUUUUUAAGUCGGGGGUGAAAUCCCGGAGCUCAACUCCGGAACUGCCUUCGAUACUGAAAGUCUGGAGCACGGUAGAGGUGAGUGGAAUUCCGAGUGUAGCGGUGAAAUGCGUAGA